rnacentral:rRNA from 1 species
CCUACGGGUGGCAGCAGUGGGGAAUAUUGGACAAUGGGCGAAAGCCUGAUCCAGCCAUGCCGCGUGUGUGAAGAAGGCCUUCGGGUUGUAAAGCACUUUCAGUGGGGAAGAAAGCCUUGGGGCUAAUACCCUCGAGGAAGGACAUCACCCACAGAAGAAGCACCGGCUAACUCCGUGCCAGCAGCCGCGGUAAUACGGAGGGUGCGAGCGUUAAUCGGAAUUACUGGGCGUAAAGCGCGCGUAGGCGGUCUGAUAAGCCGGUUGUGAAAGCCCCGGGCUCAACCUGGGAACGGCAUCCGGAACUGUCAGGCUAGAGGGCAGGAGAGGAAGGUAGAAUUCCCGGUGUAGCGGUGAAAUGCGUAGAGAGCGGGAGGAAUACCAGUGGCGAAGGCGGCCUUCUGGACUGACACUGACGCUGAGGUGCGAAAGCGUGGGUAGCAAACAGGAUUAGAUACCCCAGUAGUC